rnacentral:rRNA from 1 species
CACGUAGGCACCAAGCGUUGUCCGGAUUUAUUGGGCGUAAAGAGCUCGUAGGCGGUUCAGUAAGUCGGGUGUGAAAACUUUGGGCUUAACCCAAAGCGUGCAUCCGAUACUGCUGUGACUUGAGUUCGGUAGGGGAGUGGGGAAUUCCUAGUGUAGCGGUGAAAUGCGCAGAUAUUAGGAGGAACACCGGUGGCGAAGGCGCCACUCUGGGCCGAAACUGACGCUGAGGAGCGAAAGCAUGGGAUAGCAAAC